GAUGAACGCUGGCGGCGUGCCUAAUACAUGCAAGUCGAGCGAACAGACGAGGAGCUUGCUCCUCUGACGUUAGCGGCGGACGGGUGAGUAACACGUGGAUAACCUACCUAUAAGACUGGGAUAACUUCGGGAAACCGGAGCUAAUACCGGAUAAUAUAUUGAACCGCAUGGUUCAAUAGUGAAAGACGGUUUUGCUGUCACUUAUAGAUGGAUCCGCGCCGCAUUAGCUAGUUGGUAAGGUAACGGCUUACCAAGGCGACGAUGCGUAGCCGACCUGAGAGAGUGAUCGGCCACACUGGAACUGAGACACGGUCCAGACUCCUACGGGAGGAAGCAGUAGGGAAUCUUCCGCAAUGGGCGAAAGCCUGACGGAGCAACGCCGCGUGAGUGAUGAAGGUCUUCGGCUCGUAAAACUCUGUUAUUAGGGAAGAACAAAUGUGUAAGUAACUAUGCACGUCUUGACGGUACCUAAUCAGAAAGCCACGGCUAACUACGUG
rnacentral:rRNA from 1 species